AGAAUUCCUGUUCUAGGCAGCACUCACUAGCUGGAGUAAGUCCUCCCAUAACAUGUAAGAAUAAUUAGCAUGGAGAGAUUGAGCCAUAUACCCUUGGAUCACUUGGGAAGGCCACAUCCAGCGGUGCUCAGGGAUCACUCCUGGUGGUGCUCAGCAUGUGUGGUGCCAGGGAUCGAAAUGAAGUCAGCCGCGUGCAAGGCAAGCAUCCUACUAACUGUGCUAUUUCUCUGGCCUCUGUUUUUAUAUUUUAAUCUUUUUUUUUUUUUGGCCUAGAAUGAAACUUUAUUUAAACACGGUGAUUUACGAAGUUGUUCACCAUACAGUUGUUUCAGGUAUUCAAUAUUCCAACACCAGUCCUACCAGCAAUGUGUCUCUCCUUCCACCAAUAUCCCCAGUUUCCUACCCACUCCCCAAGCAGGCACAAAAUAACUUAUUUUAUAUUGCUUGUUACAAAUAUCGUAAUGGUGUUGUUAAAGUCAUGUUCUGAGGAUUUACUGAGAUGUUAGGUGCAAGUUGAGCUUUCUGUGUUAUUGUUUUCACUCUUUGAGCUUAGUAGACUUCUCAAUUUCCCCAUCUCAUUUUCUGUGCUUUUACGGAGCUGUCAGCUCUGAAAUUUGGAGGUGUUGCAUGACUACAUACGCGGUUGCAUGCCUCAGGGGCUGUGGAGCUGGGACGAUCAGUUGCAGGUGUCUUUCUGGCAUCUCUCUGAGAUCAUUCCUGAAGCUGGACUUUCUCUUUGGCAGCGGUGGAAGCUGGGUGUGGGUAGAGUGCUGGACAUUGGUAGGGCAGGAACUUGGUCUGCCCCCAUCCUGCUAAGGCUCUAGAGAUCUCGGCUUGGUGGCGGCAAUGCUCACCUAGAAUAACUCAGCUGCUGGCAUUUCUCUGAGAUCAGUCCUGAAGCUCUUACUGCUCUUUCCUUCUGUAGAAUUUCUGGUAUAAAAACUACUACUACAGAUUGCUUAUUAAAGGUAUUUUUAAAAUAAGGAAUUGUGGAUCAAAGAAAUAGAACUGACACCUUAUUCUAUCUGGUAGUCGAUGUUUUGAUUUAAAAGCAACACUCCUGGCUGGGAAGAUAGUUCAAAGAACCUAAGAGAAUGCUUUGCAGCGGGGAGACCUGGGUUGAUUUCAGACAUAGCAUGGUCCCUUACCAGGAGCACUCCCUGUCACUGAGUCAGUAGUCCUAAGCACUGCUGAUUGUGCCCCCACUUCCUGAGAAAAAGAAAAAAACAGCACUCCUACCAUACUACCACACUUUGUAUUGUUUAUUGUUUGUUUGUUUUUGAAUCACACCUAACAAUGCUCAGGGCUUACUCUUGGCUCUACAUUCAGGAAUCACUUCUUGUGGACUCCUGGGUAUCAAAAUGGUACUCAGGAUUGAACCCAGUCAGCUGUGUGCAAGGCAAGCGUCUUACUAUCUCUCUGGCCCUACUUUGUAUUCUGUACUGAUGGGAGUCAUCAGAUGAAUUAAAACCAAGGCUAUACUGUAAAUAAAAUUACCUAUUGCACUUUAGCAAUAUCAAUGUCAGAUUCCCUGGCACCACCAGGAGUCACUUCUAAGUAGAGCCAUCAAUAGUCCCUGAACACUGCAAGGUGUUGCCCAAAAUAAAAUACUUUGAAAAGUAUCUGACAACUGAAUACCAUGUGAUAUUUUUGUUGUGCUAGGGAUAGUGCCAGGUGUACUUUUUACACUUUUGGAUGGGUGUUGGGGAUGUGGCACUAUUUUUUAUGGUGUCAUGGGAUGGCGCUACAGAGUCUUGGGGAGGGAGCAUUAGGCAUUGUUGGGUGGUGCCAGGUAAUACCAAUAUUGAACUCAGUCUCAUACAUGUUAGGCAAACUACCACUGAGCUGUGUACUUCGAGGCCCAUAUGUGAUUUUGUUGGAUAAAAGUUGCUGUCACAAAUUGUUAAUUAAAUCUAAGUGAAAGAUGUA